GCUUGUAUAGCUCAGUUGUUUAGAGCGUUAUGCUGAUAAUGCCAAGGUUGCAGGUUCAAUCCCUGUUUGGGACA